rnacentral:lncRNA from 1 species
AUUAUGUCUUCCAGCUGUACAAAAGGAGAAGUCACAACCACAUGUAGCAGACCUGUAGAAGUUUUUCUUUGAAUAUUUUCUGAAGAUGCCCUAAUUGCAGCACUCCAAUGCAAAACAAAACUUCUGGGAAAAACAUCCACAUGAAGACUGAAGGCAUAACAAGACUUCUCUUAGAGCAGAAGAAGUACAAAACUACAAUUCUGUAAGAAG